GUAUAUACCAAUUCUACCCGGAUGCUCCCUGUCUCAUUGGAUCUUGGAAACCAAGCAAGGUCAGCCUGGCUUGUACUUGUAUGGGACACUGCCUGGGAAUACUGGAUGCUACAGGCU
rnacentral:rRNA from 1 species